rnacentral:rRNA from 1 species
GCUAUCCGCCAGAGAACUACAAGUGAAAAACUUAAAACUCAAAGGACUUGACGGUGUCCCAUAUCAGCCUAGAGGAGCCUGUCCUAUAAUCGAUACCCCUCGCUCCACCCCACCUUAGCUAGCAAAACUCAGCCUAUAUACCGCCGUCGACCAGCCUACCCUAUGAAGGUCUAACAGUAGACAUAAUAGUUACACCACUAGUACGUCAGGUCAAGGUGUAGCAAAUGUUAAGGAAGUGAUUGGCUACAUUUUUUAUUAUAAAAAAUACGGAAUGUACUAUGAAACGGUUCAUGAAGGUGAAUUUAGCAGUAAAACAGAUAAGAGUGUCUGCUUUAACAAUGCUCUGGGACGUGUACACACCGC